GCCGGGAUGGCGCAGUGAUAAGCGCAUAUGCCUGGUAAGCAGGAGACCUGGGUUUGAAUCCCAGUCCGGCA